GACACAGCGAUUAAAGACUACAAAUCCAAUUAAGGUGGAGAUGUUAGGAUUUGCUUAGAUUUGUAGUUGAAUCCUAAUUGAAUUAAAAUUAAUAUUUGAAUCUAUUAGAGAUAAAUUAGGAUUUAAAUAUUAAUUAGAAUAGAAAUCUAAUUAGAUUAGGAUUUGGAUAGUUUUUUAUGUAAGCUAUAAAUAUAGCAUAUGUGCUAUUAUUGUGGUGGUGGUGGAAUGGUACGGAUUAACCACACCCAUAUGGUAUGGCUAAGAUAGUCAUGAUUUUAGAUGCACCUAAUGUAUGGGUGCAAGAGGACAUGAGCAGCUUUCAUAGCCGUGGGUCAUUGGUAUGCCUUGUGCAGAUAACUUGAGUUGUAACUGCUCUGUUACAAAAGACGAGUCAGGUAUAAUCUUCUCUUAUUUAAUAGAUCUUAUUUUUUUUACCAGCAUUUUUUUUUUUGGUGGUUGUAAUCUUUCUUUUAUGAUUGUAUAAGAUUUUGCUAAGAAGAUGGAUUUCUGGUAAAAAUUCGAUUCGACGCUUCCGUUGUGCAAUCCCAACAAUCGGUAUCAAAUCAACAACCGUCGGUAUUGGAGUGGAUUGCAGAUUCUCAAGAUCCGAUAUCAGGGCGAGUACCGGAUUCCCAACGGUUCGUGAUGGAAGGAGAA
rnacentral:lncRNA from 1 species